GUGCACCAGUCGCGAAAACUUCACACUGUGCGAAAGCACGAUGAGGGAAUCCCAAGUGCUUGCACGUAAGUGUAAGCUGUUUCUCUGUCUAAAACGCAGAGAGAGUAAGGGCUGGGUAAGACGGGUGCCAGCCGCCGCGGUAAUACCUGCAGCUCAAGUGGUGACCGUUAUUAUUGGGCCUAAAACGUCCGUAGCCGGUUUAAUAAAUGCCUGGGUAAAUUGUGUAGCUUAACUAUACGAAUUCCGGGUAGACUGUUAAACUUGAGACCGGGAGAAGUUAGAGGUACUCCUGGGGUAGAGGUGAAAUUCUGUAAUCCUAGGGGGACCACCAGUGGCGAAGGCGUCUAACUAGAACGGGUCUGACGGUGAGGGACGAAGCCCUGGGGCGCAAACGGGGAUUAGAUACCCCCGUAGU
rnacentral:rRNA from 1 species